CAGAGAGGACCCCGGUCACCCGGCCAGGGAAUCGACCCCAGCCCCGCCUCGCUGUGAGGCGACAGCGCUACCCACCACGCCACAGUUCGACAUGAAAAGCUUAAAAACAGGGCUCAGUCUGGUUUUUCGGCACAUAUAGCUAACCAUACUCAGGGCCACAGAACCAUUUGAGAGCUAAGUUAACUGAUUGGUGGUGGAGUGACAAAAAAAAAAAAAUCGGACCUGUUCUCUAGUGCGUCAAGCUGCAGUCUACUAGGCUAAGCCAACCUGGGUGUACGGUGCCUCCCACCCAAAUAUGGAAUAAAGAGUCAUAUCUGAGAGCACAAAUUUGAAUGACAGGGGGUGACGUGACAAAGAUGAAACAGAAUUGUUCAGUGGUGCUUUUAGCUGGACCCUGCUUUGCUAGCUAAUGCUAGCAUAGUUAGCAGACUACACAUGAAACCCACCACAGUAAAGGCUGUUUCAGUAACGAGUGCUCAAAGAACCACCCUUUAAGAGGACAAAGAAUCUGAGAGCAUGCCUAGAGGUUUUGGAGUGAUACACCGAAUCAGACGUGUUUGGUGUGUAUGUAGCUAUUAGCCUGUUAGCUGUUAGCCACUCCUUUAUGUAGUUCUCUUGGGUAUUUCCUGGUUCUGGUGUAGCGGUACAACAGAUGGAAAAAGAAACGAUGCUGAAGCGAUGGUGAAUGGGGGGAGGUUAGAAAGUUCUAGACAAUAAAACUUCAGUUAACUGGUUAUCGUGAUGUGGGGUUUCUUGCUUAUUUACAUCUUCUUUAACAUGUUGUAUGAAUAGGCAGGUAAUUGUCUUCAGCUGUAGGUGCGAUAUCUCUAUAUUUAAACAGACUGCUGAUUGAUUUUAGUUGUGCCAAUUCACAAUAUUUGAGGAAGGCACGGUUAGCUUUGUCUGUGAGCCUAGCACCAGCCCUCGAAGAGGAACGAGUGGUGCUUUUGUCACGAUGGCCUUAGUGAAAUCUAAGAUUGUGCUCGUCAGUUGAUUUAUAAGUACAUAUUUUCUGAAAUAGUGUGUCAUGAGGUUGGAGACAUGGCUGCCCACACUACUGGAACAGGAUGUAACCUAAAUUUUUGACAUUUCUGAAAUAACCAUGGUUCUAGUUCAUUUAGGUAGUUUGAGUUUUUCAUUUCAUAUGGUUAUGUGUGUCUUUGCAUGUUGAAAAUGUACAAAAAUAUGAAUUUUUUGCCUGUGAAAAAAGAACACAAUGACAUUCAUGACCUUUAUAAAUCCAAUUCUGGUUGGUUUUCUUAAUCAAGCUGUCUGACAUGCACUAAUCUUUUGGUGUUCUCACCGUGUCAGCUCACAAUACAGAUGCAGCCCUAAUUAAAAGGAUGAAAGCUGCUGAAUUUGUGGACGAACACAGGGAAAAGCUCAUUCAGAGAGUUUCCUCAGUAAUGGAACUAGCAGACUCUCUACAAAGCAAGAAAAUGAUCGGUGAUGAAAUGUACAAUAACAUCAAAGUUGCAAAAACAUCUCAGGAACAAAUGAGGAUUCUGUACGAAAUUCUUCAGUCGGGAGGAACCGCUGUGAAAGCAGAAUUCUAUGAAAUCCUUAAACUGAAACUAGCUUUCCUGGUGGAUGAUCUGGAGUCUGGACCCAGAAAGGCUUAGUGGACAUUU